rnacentral:lncRNA from 1 species
GCACAAUAAUGGCCCUGUUUUGUAGCUGGCUGUGUUUCUCCAAAAUGUAUUUAUAUUGCUGCCUUUUCAAAAGAAGUUGGCUAAUAUUAUUGGAUUUCCAUUUUCUGCCAUGACAUAUGAAAAUUUGAUGAGGUCUGUGAAAUUUAAGACUUGUUUCCUUAAGUGUGAUAGAACCUUAGUUAAUAUAGCUUUAGACUUCAGUCGCACAAAUCUGUGAUUACCUUUAAACUUUUUCCUUAUUGUUGGGGAGGGUGGAGAAAAGGGGGAGGCAGGAAGUGUGUAUAUGUAGCCAGGAGACAGGAAUGAGCAGAAAGACAGGGACAAAGUACAAACCUCACACGGCACCAGGCAGCUAUGUAUCUCCAAGCAGCCCAGGAUGAGAUUGAACAUCAAGUGACCCUGGAAGAACUACAAAAUUUAAACGCACUAUUUCAGGAGCAUGAAAAGAGAGGAACACGACUGCUGGAUAUGGAAACAUUCAAAAGCAUAAUGAAGCAGAGUAUGAGGUCCCAGAAUAAAAGUACUCGUUGACCCUCAGUACUUCUGUCAACUUGAAGCUGAAUGAAGAGAACGUGCUUGUUUGCAAUUUUCAAAUUUAUGUAAUGGUAACCCAUAGUUGGAGUAGUUUAACUAGGUAUUUCAGUAACUAAGGCAAGUUACAUGAAAGAAAUUCUUAAACCAAGAAUGGAGGGCCACAUCCACCACUUUACUGAAAAGCCAGGAAAGUACUGCAGGCAAUGAUACAUGGUGAUAAUGAAAUCAGUGAACACAUGUAAAGUGUUUAGAACUGGGGUUGUCACACAAUAAAUUCUCAGCAAGUAUUAUUAUGAUUCCUGUUAAUAUUAUCCAAUUUUGGUUAUGUAAUAACAAAGAGCUGAGAUACCUGUUUUUUUGAUUCUUGGCCAUCAUGUCUGUCAGUGUCCUUCCAUUGUUCUGGGAUGAAUUAAGUUCAAAAGUGACAAAUUGAGCAGUAAGUCAUCUGUAUUCAGGCCUUUGGCCAAUUCUACAGUGCCCUCACUGUCAUAUGAUUUGAAAAGGAAUAUUCAAGAUUCCAGGGCAGAGAAGGGAAGCUUCUAGUGAAAGAGGAUUUUGGAAGAGGUGGACAGAAAAUGAAGAUUUCCCAGGUCCAAAGAGACUCCACCCUUUCUAUUUUUGAUCACAAAGUUCCUUCCCAUUAGUAUACUGCUAAGAUUCAAAAAAAGGCAUAUGCCCUGCUGUGUGGGAACUUCAGAAUCAGAUCAAUGACAACACAAGUCUCUGGCUGGCCAUUGGCUAGUUGUUCCAUCUUAGGCAAGCCAUUUAACUUCUCUUCAAGCUUGAGUUUCCCAGUUCAUAAAAUGGGGUGAGCGAUGGACCUUAACCCCUUUAGGAAUGAUGAGAAUUGAAGUGAAGACCCACACUACAUGGAACAUGGUACACUCUAACAGUCAUUAUCAUCACCGCCAUUGUCAUCAUCAUCAUCAUCAUCAUCAUCAUCAUCAUCAUCAUCAACAACAACAACAACAACACCAUUAAAGAAAAAGGGAAAGCAGAAGAAGUAAGCUGGCAGCUGGGAAACAGACUUCAGGCCCAGCUGAGCAUGCUUACCACAGUUAUUACACGGUGGCUUCUGGACGUAUCUACAGCUAGAGUAUUUGAAGCAGGCCAAGGCUUUGGCCUGACAGAAAGAGGUGUCCUUCCUGCUGCCUGCUGUAGUGCCACAGAGGCUGUCACAUGGGGGUCUUGUGCUGCGCAUUCUCUCUGUGCCUGAUGACACCUUAAUCAUGAUCAGAGAAGAUGGAGCUAUUUAUUUCUGGUCCCUGCAGCUGAAGCUGAAAAGAAAAAAGUGGAUUUUUGUAUGUGAUUUUCAUUUGAUAAGGAUGCUGAGUGCUACAGUUUGAUUUUAUUUGCUAUUUUAAACUGCUCCUUAAGUGGCAUGAUUACAUAAAUUGUGCCCUUGAAUAUAAUAUAUUCAUGUUGCAUUUUGUUAGGCUACGGAAUGCAAAUAAAAUAGAGCACUACAUGU